rnacentral:rRNA from 1 species
UCUUUCCGGUCAUACGUUCCUUAUAGGUCGCUUAAUAGGCGAGGUCUUGUAGGAGGCUAGGAUCAUGUCAGGCAUCCACAGGCUUAUCCUGCGUGACAGACGGUACCCGCGGUACCGGUGGUCGUGGUAGCGGCCGUGGGAGGUGUCGGCGGUGGAGGUAACGGCGUGAGAGGACGACGAUAAUGGCAUGGAGGGCUAGCGCAAGGAUGAGCAGCUGCCGCCGCCGUAAGGCUGCUGCGACCUGCCGGGCAAGUGCGGCCGGUGGGCGCGCAAGCUGGCGAGCGACGCCGUCCCGUCGCUCCUGCAGGGCGAGAGGCUGGGGGCGGACCGGGGCGCGCGCGCGGGCGGCAGGGGCCUCGUCUAGCGCGAGCGGCGGAGCCGGCUGGGGUGGAGCGAGACCCAGAGGACCCAGUGCCCGGCGCGGGUCCAGCCGAGGGUGGAGUGGGGAGAGCUGGGGUGGCGGCAGGCGUCGCUCCAGACCAUGCCGCUCGCGGGGCGGAGGCGGCUGUGGCAGCGGGUGGGCGUGGUGCACCGCUCCCCGAGCCGCCUCCAGAUGUCGGUCGAGAUGGGCAUGGGCCCGGAGGAGUUGAUGUGGAGGCCGCAGUAGGUGGUGCAGGCCGAGCACCCGGACUCCGGCAGGUGGGCGAUGAUGAUGGCAACGCCGCUGUCGAGGGAGUUCCCGCCGGAGUCGCUACUCGCGAGAAAGCACUGCGACGGGCGCGGCCGCGGCCUGCGUAUGGGAGCAGCGAAGCGCCACCAGCCCCUGGAACCCGAGUGGCCGUUGAGGUGGAGGUGGCAGCUGGUGGAGCGGUCCUUGCUGGGCAGGUACUAGAACUACCAGCCGCUGUACUGCAUGCGGUUGGUCAUGGCGUGGUGGCCGCCGUCUCCGCAGGGGACGAAGAGGACAAGGAAGGGUCUGCGGGGCUAAGCCCUCAGGAUGGUCGGCGCUACCCUGCCGACCCCUUCUAAGUACCUCGGCGAACGUAGCUCCCACUGUUACUACCACUGGCUUCCCUUGGUGCUCUAGCUCGGCGUCCCCGUGCCGCCUCGGCGCUGGAAGCGGAGGAUGAACCGCGCGAAGCGACACGGCAGCCUCCUCAGACCUAGGUUGUGGUUCAAGAUGAUGAGCAAGUUGCGCCCACCAUAAGUAAAGUAGUACGAACCACGGAUACAGCUGAUGUUAGCGUGUCCUCGAGUCAUGAGCACCAAUCUCUUCCUAGACGUGUUUCAACUAGCUGCUCAGUGUGGUACCCAACAGCGAAGAACCGUGUGCGGAACCAUAUUGUCGAUAAGGAGCGUGAUGGUCCUUAAACUCACAUACUCCGUUCUUUACCUUCCUGAGGAGAUAGUUGUACCCCAGCUGUAACAGAAGAGUCCGGUACAUGUGCGUAUGCUUUCCUACUUGGCCCACAAGUUGAUGUGCAACCUGGGCACGCCCGGCCAAAUGUAAUGCUAGCCCCUACCGCCAUUGUAACUCUUUUAGCUGUAACUAGUACGUCUACUGGGACCUUUCACGGGGAGUGGUCCACUGUUGGUGGGACUUAAACCACCUCAGACGGUAGACUUGAAGUGAAGACCAGGACGGUUCCCCUUUAAAACGACCCUUGCUGUCGGCCUUACCUCGCGUAAGUCCCUUUCGUCAAAGCCGGUGCCAUAAAAUCUCCAACACUUAAGCUGUAUACGGAACACCUGUACCGUGGCCUUGGUCCUACGUAUGCCUCUUGUGUCACACCCUCUAGUCUAGAUAUAUCAUGCCCUUGGGCUGUUCACGGAUAACGUCGGUUCCCCAGACUAAGGUGUUCUGACAGGGAGCCGCCCUACGGGAAGAAGUUGUAAUUCAUCGUGGAGUCCACGACUUGUUCGACGAUUUUUACCGGCCGAGGAAACCUGAUGAUGUACAUACUAAAACUAGUCAUGCCAAAACAUCAGGGUAGGAACCGGAACACUUCGUGGUCCUUUUUAUAUACCCAUCACACCACCGCUCAACUGUCUAUUAUAAGGAGCAUCGUUACCCCAACAUGUACAUUGUUGUAUGACAUAAACUUUCUUUUAUUGUAGCGUUUACAAAAAACCGCCG